AGAGACAGCAGCAGCCACGGUAAUACGUAGGUCCCGAGCGUUGUCCGGAUUUAUUGGGCGUAAAGCGAGCGCAGGCGGUUAGAUAAGUCUGAAGUUAAAGGCUGUGGCUUAACCAUAGUAUGCUUUGGAAACUGUUUAACUUGAGUGCAGAAGGGGAGAGUGGAAUUCCAUGUGUAGCGGUGAAAUGCGUAGAUAUAUGGAGGAACACCGGUGGCGAAAGCGGCUCUCUGGUCUGUAACUGACGCUGAGGCUCGAAAGCGUGGGGAGCAAACAGGAUUAGAUACCCGUGUAGUCCCUGUCUCUUAUACA
rnacentral:rRNA from 1 species